UGGAUCAUGUUGUUAAUUCGACGAUACGCGAAGAACCUUACCAGGUCUUGACAUCCCCUGCAAAGCUAUGGAGACAUAGUGGAGGUUAUCAGGGAGACAGGUGGUGCAUGGUUGUCGUCAGCUCGUGUCGUGAGAUGUUGGGUUAAGUCCCGCAACGAGCGCAACCCUUAUUGCUAGUUACCAUCAUUAAGUUGGGGACUCUAGCGAGACUGCCAGUGAUAAACUGGAGGAAGGCGGGGAUGACGUCAAAUCAUCAUGCCCCUUAUGACCUGGGCUACAAACGUGAUACAAUGGCUGAAACAAAGGGCAGCGAAGGAGCGAUCCGGAGCGAAACCCAAAAAGCAGUCUCAGUUCGGAUUGAAGUCUGCAACUCGACUUCAUGAAGUCGGAAUCGCUAGUAAUCGCGGAUCAGAACGCCGCGGUGAAUACGUUCUCGGGGUUU
rnacentral:rRNA from 1 species